UCCAACUCAUCGGGGAGCAACCCCAUUUUGUAUUGUGUUGAUCAAUACUUAAGGGCGCUGAGACCUAAUGGCUUAACCUAGUUAGGCUACGGGGACCCGUAAUACCUGAACCAGAUAAUGCUGGCGUAGGAAUUGAGUCUGGAUAUUAG
rnacentral:ncRNA from 1 species